CCUUGUUUAACCGUCAAGAGUAUCAAGCGAUGAAAAGCAAUUUCCAAAGGUUGACCAACACAUCCGUAUAAGUCCUCACUGAAAAAACUUGAUUGACUAGUUUGUAUUCUUGUUAGAGAGUUUUUACUGUCGCCAGUAAGCAACAUGCUUAGAAACGCAUCUGUCGCGUGAUUGUAGCUCGAAAUAAUGUCAUUGUCUUGUAUGGCCGUAGUUAAUGAGCAUUGAAGUUCCUCUUGACUUAUACCUAAUAAAAACAAAUAAACAACCACGAAUAAACAACCACAAAUGAAACAACAAGUAGAUAAUACUCACAAAGAAACAAUAACUGCAGAACAAAUAAACAAUAACAACAACAAAAAACAAUUGAAAUAAAAAAUAAA